UACAGAGGUGGCAAGCGUUGUUCGGAAUUACUGGGCGUAAAGCGUGCGCAGGCGGUUCGUUGUGUCGGCGGUGAAAGCCCCGGGCUUAACCUGGGAACGGCCAUGGAAACUGGCGAGCUGGAGUGUGGCAGAGGGGGGUGGAAUUCCGCGUGUAGCAGUGAAAUGCGUAGAGAUGCGGAGGAACACCGAUGGCGAAGGCAGCCCCCUGGGCUAACACUGACGCUGAGGCACGAAAGCGUGGGGAGCAAACAGG
rnacentral:rRNA from 1 species